rnacentral:rRNA from 1 species
UAGGGAAUCUUCCGCAAUGGACGCAAGUCUGACGGAGCAACGCCGCGUGAGUGAAGAAGGAUUUCGGUUCGUAAAACUCUGUUGUUAGAGAAGAACAGCGCAUAGAGUAACUGUUAUGCGUGUGACGGUAUCUAACCAGUAAGCCACGGCUAACUACGUGCCAGCAGCCGCGGUAAUACGUAGGUGGCAAGCGUUGUCCGGAUUUAUUGGGCGUAAAGCGAGCGCAGGCGGUCAAUUAAGUCUGAUGUGAAAGCCCCCGGCUCAACCGGGGAGGGUCAUUGGAAACUGGUGGACUUGAGUGCAGAAGAGGAGAGUGGAAUUCAAUGUGUAGCGGUGAAAUGCGUAGAUAUAUGGAGGAACACCAGUGGCGAAGGCGACUCACUGGUCUGUAACUGACGCUGUGGCUCGAAAGCGUGGGUAGCAAACAGG